rnacentral:piRNA from 1 species
AUUAUCAUCAUGGCAGGAAGCAUGGCA